UCAAGUCAGACUCUCUAGUCCCAACUGCUGCC
rnacentral:piRNA from 1 species